GUGGGGAAUAUUGGACAAUGGGCGCAAGCCUGAUCCAGCCAUGCCGCGUGCAGGAAGACGCAUCUAUGGUGUGUAAACUGCUUUUGUACGGGAAGAAACACUCCCUCGUGAGGGAGCUUGACGGUACCGUAAGAAUAAGGAUCGGCUAACUCCGUGCCAGCAGCCGCGGUAAUACGGAGGAUCCAAGCGUUAUCCGGAAUCAUUGGGUUUAAAGGGUCCGUAGGCGGUUUAAUAAGUCAGUGGUGAAAGCCCAUCGCUCAACGAUGGAACGGCCAUUGAUACUGUUAGACUUGAAUUACAAGGAAGUAACUAGAAUAUGUAGUGUAGCGGUGAAAUGCUUAGAUAUUACAUGGAAUACCAAUUGCGAAGGCAGGUUACUACUUGUGGAUUGACGCUGAUGGACGAAAGCGUGGGGAGCGAACAGGAUUAGAUACCCCGGUAGUCC
rnacentral:rRNA from 1 species